rnacentral:rRNA from 1 species
AUUGAACGCUGGCGGAAUGCUUUACACAUGCAAGUCGAACGGCAGCACGGACUUCGGUCUGGUGGCGAGUGGCGAACGGGUGAGUAAUGUAUCGGAACGUGCCCAGUCGUGGGGGAUAACGUAGUGAAAAUUACGCUAAUACCGCAUACGAUCUAUGGAUGAAAGCGGGGGAUCGCAAGACCUCGCGCGAUUGGAGCGGCCGAUAUCAGAUUAGGUAGUUGGUGGGGUAAAGGCCCACCAAGCCAACGAUCUGUAGCUGGUCUGAGAGGACGACCAGCCACACUGGAACUGAGACACGGUCCAGACUCCUACGGGAGGCAGCAGUGGGGAAUUUUUGACAAUGGUCGAAAGCCUGAUCCAGCCAUUCCGCAUGCAGGAUGAAGGCCCUCGGGUUGUAAACUGCUUUUGUACAGAACGAAAAGGUUUCUACUAAUACUAGGAGCUCAUGACGGUACUGUAAGAAUAAGCACCGGCUAACUACGUGCCAGCAGCCGCCGCAG